GAUGAACGCUGGCGGCGUGCCUAAUACAUGCCAGUCGAGCGAACGGACGAGAAGCUUGCUUCUCUGAUGUUAGCGGCGGACGGGUGAGUAACACGUGGAUAACCUACCUAUAAGACUGGGAUAACUUCGGGAAACCGGAGCUAAUACCGGAUAAUAUUUUGAACCGCAUGGUUCAAAAGUGAAAGACGGUCUUGCUGUCACUUAUAGAUGGAUCCGCGCUGCAUUAGCUAGUUGGUAAGGUAACGGCUUACCAAGGCAACGAUGCAUGGCCGACCUGAGAGGGUGAUCGGCCACACUGGAACUGAGACACGGUCCAGACUCCUACGGGAGGCAGCAGUAGGGAAUCUUCCGCAAUGGGCGAAAGCCUGACGGAGCAACGCCGCGUGAGUGAUGAAGGUCUUCGGAUGGUAAAACUCUGUUAUUAGGGAAGAACAUAUGUGUAAGUAACUGUGCACAUCUUGACGGUACCUAAUCAGAAAGCCACGGCUAACUACGUG
rnacentral:rRNA from 1 species